rnacentral:lncRNA from 1 species
GGUAGCCAUUGGCAGAGCCAUGGGCACCCAGCCUCCCCCAUAGGCCACACUCCCUUGGUCCCCUGGCAUCCUGGCAUGACUCGCCUGGUUGGCAGCACUUUGUUAAUAUGGGUUGCCGGAGAUUCGGAGUUGGGAGAUGGAAAUGAAGGCAGCAUUUCUCAAAGCCAGGUCGUCUAGCAAGGAAGCCAACUGUGGAGCUCGGCGGAGACCUCUCCCGCCAGCCCUUCUUUCUACGUCCCCAAGUGCCUCCCUCCCUCCUCCUCUUUACUGAAACUGAAACCAAAGCGUUCACAGUUAGAUUUUCACCUCGUGCCACUCUCUUUUGGGGUCUGGCUUGAGCAUCUAUGGGCAGCCACAGCGACCAGUCUAGUCCCAGACAGCACAGGUCAAGCAGCGUGGGACUGUGGAGCCCCUGGCAGGCUGGCCUGGUGCUGCCCCCUUAGCCCAGAAGCCCUGCCAGGUCCAGUGGCCUGGGGUCCCACUGCUGAGGGCACCUGCCAGGCCUCACUCCACCCUGAAUGGACUCGAGCCAUGUAUUCAUUCAGUAAACUGACAUUAUUCUCCCA